GGCCAGACUCCUACGGGAGGCAGCAGUGGGGGAUAUUGCACAAUGGGGGAAACCCUGAUGCAGCGACGCCGCGUGGGCGAAGAAGUAUUUCGGUAUGUAAAGCCCUAUCAGCAGGGAAGAAGAAAUGACGGUACCUGAGUAAGAAGCACCGGCUAAAUACGUGCCAGCAGCCGCGGUAAUACGUAUGAUGCAAGCGUUAUCCGGAUUUACUGGGUGUAAAGGGGGCGCAGACGGCGAUGCAAGCCAGGAGUGAAAGCCCGGGGCCCAACCCCGGGACUGCUCUUGGAACUGCGUGGCUGGAGUGCAGGAGGGGCAGGCGGAAUUCCUGGUGUAGCGGUGAAAUGCGUAGAUAUCAGGAGGAACACCGGUGGCGAAGGCGGCCUGCUGGACUGCAACUGACGUUGAGGCCCGAAAGCGUGGGGAGCAAACAGGAUUAGAUACCCGUGUAC
rnacentral:rRNA from 1 species